rnacentral:rRNA from 1 species
AUUGAACGCUGGCGGCAUGCUUUACACAUGCAAGUCGAGCGGCAGCGCGGGGGGCAACCCUGGCGGCGAGCGGCGAACGGGUGAGUAAUGCAUCGGAACGUACCCUGGAGUGGGGGAUAACGCCGCGAAAGCGGCGCUAAUACCGCAUAUGCUCUGAGGAGGAAAGUGGGGGACCGCAAGGCCUCACGCUCUGGGAGCGGCCGAUGUCCGAUUAGCUAGUUGGUGAGGUAAAGGCUUACCAAGGCGACGAUCGGUAGCUGGUCUGAGAGGAUGAUCAGCCACACUGGGACUGAGACACGGCCCAGACUCCUACGGGAGGCAGCAGUGGGGAAUUUUGGACAAUGGGGGCAACCCUGAUCCAGCCAUGCCGCGUGAGUG